GCCGGGCGGGGAUGCUAUACAUGCAGUCGAACGCACAGCGAAAGGUGCUUGCACCUUUCAAGUGAGUGGCGAACGGGUGAGUAACACGUGGACAACCUGCCUCAAGGCUGGGGAUAACAUUUGGAAACAGAUGCUAAUACCGAAUAAAACUUAGUGUCGCAUGACACAAAGUUAAAAGGCGCUUCGGCGUCACCUAGAGAUGGAUCCGCGGUGCAUUAGUUAGUUGGUGGGGUAAAGGCCUACCAAGACAAUGAUGCAUAGCCGAGUUGAGAGACUGAUCGGCCACAUUGGGACUGAGACACGGCCCAAACUCCUACGGGAGGCUGCAGUAGGGAAUCUUCCACAAUGGGCGAAAGCCUGAUGGAGCAACGCCGCGUGUGUGAUGAAGGCUUUCGGGUCGUAAAGCACUGUUGUAUGGGAAGAACAGCUAGAAUAGGAAAUGAUUUUAGUUUGACGGUACCAUACCAGAAAGGGACGGCUAAAUACGUGCCAGCAGCCGCGGUAAUACGUAUGUCCCGAGCGUUAUCCGGAUUUAUUGGGCGUAAAGCGAGCGCAGACGGUUUAUUAAGUCUGAUGUGAAAGCCCGGAGCUCAACUCCGGAAUGGCAUUGGAAACUGGUUAACUUGAGUGCAGUAGAGGUAAGUGGAACUCCAUGUGUAGCGGUGGAAUGCGUAGAUAUAUGGAAGAACACCAGUGGCGAAGGCGGCUUACUGGACUGCAACUGACGUUGAGGCUCGAAAGUGUGGGUAGCAAACAGGAUUAGAUACCCUGGUAGUCCACACCGUAAACGAUGAACACUAGGUGUUAGGAGGUUUCCGCCUCUUAGUGCCGAAGCUAACGCAUUAAGUGUUCCGCCUGGGGAGUACGACCGCAAGGUUGAAACUCAAAGGAAUUGACGGGGACCCGCACAAGCGGUGGAGCAUGUGGUUUAAUUCGAAGCAACGCGAAGAACCUUACCAGGUCUUGACAUCCUUUGAAGCUUUUAGAGAUAGAAGUGUUCUCUUCGGAGACAAAGUGACAGUGGUGCAUGGUCGUCGUCAGCUCGUGUCGUGAGAUGUUGGGUUAAGUCCCGCAACGAGCGCAACCUUAAUUGUUAGUUGCCAGCAUUCAGAUGGGCACCUCUAGCGA
rnacentral:rRNA from 1 species